rnacentral:rRNA from 1 species
UGGGGGAUAUUGCACAAUGGGGGAAACCCUGAUGCAGCGACGCCGCGUGAGUGAAGAAGUAUUUCGGUAUGUAAAGCUCUAUCAGCAGGGAAGAAAAGGGGCGAAAGUCCGGACAGUACCUGAAUAAGAAGCCCCGGCUAACUACGUGCCAGCAGCCGCGGUAAUACGUAGGGGGCAAGCGUUAUCCGGAUUUACUGGGUGUAAAGGGAGCGUAGACGGUUAUGCAAGUCUGAAGUGAAAGCCCGGGGCCCAACCCCAGGGCACUGCUUUGGAAAUACUGUGGAACUGGAGUACAGGAGGGGCAGGCGGAAUUCCUGGUGUAGCGGUGAAAUGCGUAGAUAUCAGGAGGAACACCGGCGGCGAAGGCGGCCUGCUGGACUGAAACUGACGUUGAGGCUCGAAAGCGUGGGGAGCAAACAGGAUUAGAUACC